rnacentral:rRNA from 1 species
CGACCGGCGCACGGGUGAGUAACACGUAUCCAACCUGCCGUCUACUCUUGGACAGCCUUCUGAAAGGAAGAUUAAUACAAGAUGGCAUCAUGAGUCCGCAUGUUCACAUGAUUAAAGGUAUUCCGGUAGACGAUGGGGAUGCGUUCCAUUAGAUAGUAGGCGGGGUAACGGCCCACCUAGUCUUCGAUGGAUAGGGGUUCUGGGAGGAAGGUCCCCCACAUUGGAACUGAGACACGGUCCAAACUCCUACGGGAGGCAGCAUG